GCCUGGUUGAUCCUGCCAGUAGCAUAUGCUUGUUUCAAAGGCUAAGCCAUGCAUGUCUAAGUACAGUCGUGUUUACACGGCGAUACCGCGGACGGCUCAUUAAAUCAGUCGUGGUCCAAAUGGGUCCGUCCUCACGGUAUACUUGGAUAACCGUGGUAAUUCCAGAGCUAAUACAUGCAACUCAUAUCCCGAGGUGCGCAAGCACCGACGGAAGCACUUAUUAGACCAAUGCCCAACGGCGUCGUGCGCCUUGUGCGCGCGCACGUUCGCCGCCCGCAUAAAUGGUGACUCUGGAUAAUUACUUGGACGAGCGCACGUAUCUGUUCAAGCAGAACGGCGCCGCCUCUUUCGAGUGUCUGCCUUAUCAGCCAUCAAUCGCUCGUUAUGUGCGAACGAUGGCCUUGACGGGUAACGGGGAAUCAGGGUUCGAUUCCGGAGAGGCAGCCUGAGAAACGGCUACCACGUCUAAGGACGGCAGCAGGCACGCAAAUUACCCAAUCCCAGAACUCUGGGGAGGUAGUGACGAAAAAUAACGAUGCGGGCGCUCCUUCUGGAGCCCCGCAAUCGGAAUGAGUAUGUCUUAAAUAACCUGUCGAGAACCCACUGAAGGGCAAGUCUGGUGCCAGCAGCCGCGGUAAUUCCAGCUUCAGUAGCAUCUAUUAAAGUUGCUGCGGUUAAAAGGCUCGCAGUUGGAGCCACUGGUGUUUGGUAUAUGGAGCAGCUGGACGUUGGGUACUUCGUGUCCCCGUCCUGUUGUCUGCUCCUGACUCUAUGGCACUGAAUAUGGGAAAACCUCGUGCGGCUUGGGCGUUUGCUCAGAGGUGUGGUGGCGAAUCUUGGCGGGCUCAUGUGUUGCUUUGCGGCGAUGCGUGUUUUUCUCCUUGUUCGUUUAACUCCCUCUGUGUCCUUGCUUGCGCGGGGUGGCUCCUGUGUCACCUUGAGUAAAUCAUGGUGCUCACAGCAGUCGUGCGGGCCUCGUGCCCUGUGAACAGUCUUUGCGGACUGAAUUGGUUUUGCAAGGCAUGACGAAACAUGACGUCGCUGCUGGUCGCGGGCGGAGGGCUUUGCGGCCCCACCGGUUUGCCAGCAGUGACGUAAUGAUCAAUGGAGACGGUAGCUGGCAUUGGUAUUGCGCGGCGAGAGGUGAAAUUCUGCGACCCCCGCAAGACCUCCUAAAGCGAAGGCGUCUGCCAAGGACGUGUUCACCAAUCAUGAACGAAAGUCAGAGGAUCGAAGGCGAUCAGAUACCGCCCUAGUUCUGACCCUAAACGAUGCCAACCAUCAAUCCGCGUGAGCACCCUAUCUAACGGGCUCGGCGGGCAGCUCCCCACUACCGGGAAACCAGAGUUUAUGGGUUCCGGGGGGAGUCUGGUUGCAAAGCUGAAACUUAAAGGAAUUGACGGAAAGGCACCACCAGGCGUGGAGCCUGCGGCUUAAUUUGACUCAACACGGGCCAUCUUACCAGGCCAGCACUCUGGCAUGAUUGACAGAUUGAGAGCUCUUUCUCGAUUCAGUGGACGGUGGUGCAUGGCCGUUCUUAGUUGGUGGAGUGAUCUGUCUGGUUAAUUCCGAUAACGAACGAGACUCUCCUCUGCUAAAUAGUCGGCUGGAUCUUGAAUUGCUGAGUUGCUCAUUGCCAUGUUCGCGCGCGUUUAGCUUCCCUGGCGUGUUCUGGGUUUCCGUUUGGUUGUGGGGCGCUUGGCGCGCGCGGUGCCACGUUGUGUGCUUGCAUGCUCGUGUCUCGCGUGUGUCCUUGUUGCUUUCCUCCUGCGGGCUCGGUGGCGCGUUUUGUGGGGCGGCGUGUUGUUGGGCGUGUGUCUUUGGCACUCCAAGUCCGUCGGCUCACACCCGCGCAAGCGGGUUGUGUGGUGCAAGUUCUUCUUAGAGAGAUUGACGGCUCUGAAGCCGUACGAGAAUGAGAGCAAUAACAGGUCUGUGAUGCCCUCAGAUGCCCUGGGCCGCACGCGCGCUACAAUGCUGGACACAGCAGGUCUAGCCUGCUCCGAGAGGAGCGGGUAACCCUGUCAAAGUCCUGAGUUGUGUAUCGGGCAUCACACUCGUGGUGCAUUGGGCGUGCUUGGGCCUGGGGCUUGCAAUUCUUUCCCACAAACAAGGAAUGCCUUGUAGUGGCGAGUCACUGAGCUCGCUGUGACUCAGUCCCUGCCCUUUGUACACACCGCCCGUCGCUACUACCGAUUGGGUGUACCAGUGAGAACCUUGGACUGGCGUCCGGUGCCUCGCGCACCUGGGUCUGACGGAAAGAGGUUCGAACUGGUGCACUUAGAGGAAGUAAAAGUCGUAACAAGGUUUCCGUAGGUGAACCUGCGGAAGGAUCAUUA
rnacentral:rRNA from 1 species